GAUGAACGCUAGCUACAGGCUUAACACAUGCAAGUCGAGGGGCAGCAUCAUCAAAACUUGCUUUGAUGGAUGGCGACCGGCGCACGGGUGAGUAACACGUAUCCAACCUGCCGACAACACUGGGAUAGCCUUUCGAAAGAAAGAUUAAUACCGGAUGGCAUAGUUUCCCCGCAUGGGAUAAUUAUUAAAGAAUUUCGGUUGUCGAUGGGGAUGCGUUCCAUUAGGCAGUUGGCGGGGUAACGGCCCACCAAACCGACGAUGGAUAGGGGUUCUGAGAGGAAGGUCCCCCACAUUGGAACUGAGACACGGUCCAAACUCCUACGGGAGGCAGCAGUGAGGAAUAUUGGUCAAUGGACGAGAGUCUGAACCAGCCAAGUAGCGUGAAGGAUGACUGCCCUAUGGGUUGUAAACUUCUUUUAUACGGGAAUAAAGUUAGCCACGUGUGGCUUUUUGUAUGUACCGUAUGAAUAAGGAUCGGCUAACUCCGUGCCAGCAGCCGCGGUAAUACGGAGGAUCCGAGCGUUAUCCGGAUUUAUUGGGUUUAAAGGGAGCGUAGGCGGGUUGUUAAGUCAGUCGUGAAAGUUUGCGGCUCAACCGUAAAAUUGCAGUUGAUACUGGCGACCUUGAGUGCAACAGAGGUAGGCGGAAUUCGUGGUGUAGCGGUGAAAUGCUUAGAUAUCACGAAGAACUCCGAUUGCGAAGGCAGCUUACUGGAUUGUAACUGACGCUGAUGCUCGAAAGUGUGGGUAUCAAACAGGAUUAGAUACCCUGGUAGUCCACACAGUAAACGAUGAAUACUCGCUGUUGGCGAUAUACUGUCAGCGGCCAAGCGAAAGCAUUAAGUAUUCCACCUGGGGAGUACGCCGGCAACGGUGAAACUCAAAGGAAUUGACGGGGGCCCGCACAAGCGGAGGAACAUGUGGUUUAAUUCGAUGAUACGCGAGGAACCUUACCCGGGCUUAAAUUGCAACUGACGGAACCGGAAACGGUUCUUUCUUCGGACAGUUGUGAAGGUGCUGCAUGGUUGUCGUCAGCUCGUGCCGUGAGGUGUCGGCUUAAGUGCCAUAACGGGCGCAACCCUUAUCGAUAGUUACUAGCAGGUCAUGCUGAGGACUCUAUUGAGACUGCCGUCGUAAGAUGUGAGGAAGGUGGGGAUGACGUCAAAUCAGCACGGCCCUUACGUCCGGGGCUACACACGUGUUACAAUGGGGGGUACAGAAGGCAGCUACACGGCGACGUGGUGCUAAUCCCGAAAGCCUCUCUCAGUUCGGAUUGGAGUCUGCAACCCGACUCCAUGAAGCUGGAUUCGCUAGUAAUCGCGCAUCAGCCACGGCGCGGUGAAUACGUUCCCGGGCCUUGUACACACCGCCCGUCAAGCCAUGAAAGCCGGGGGUACCUGAAGUACGUAACCGCGAGGAGCGUCCUAGGGUAAAACUGGUGAUUGGGGCU
rnacentral:rRNA from 1 species